AGUCAGUCAGAGAGCCUUGGGCUCUGGGAGUGGUGCCAGGGCAGUUCUACAAGGCCUGGAGCAGAUACGAAAAACCUCCCUUCUUUGCCAAAUGGUCCCCAGCUUCCCCAUUCACUGAAGGCCCUGCGGUCAGGAACAGUCAGGACUUUGCACCCAGUUGUUGUGAGUGUUGGCCGACCCUUCCUCUUGUGUGAUUCAUGGACCCUUAGCAUUGCAUCACCUGGGAGCUUUUGGAAUUGAAGACUCUCAGCGCUCACCGGAAGGACCUCCUGGGCCAGAAUCUGCAUUUUAACAAGAUGCCCAGGUGAUUUGCA
rnacentral:lncRNA from 10 species